AUUGAACGCUGGCGGCAGGCCUAACACAUGCAAGUCGAGCGGAUGAAGGGAGCUUGCUCCUGGAUUCAGCGGCGGACGGGUGAGUAAUGCCUAGGAAUCUGCCUGGUAGUGGGGGAUAACGUCCGGAAACGGGCGCUAAUACCGCAUACGUCCUGAGGUAGAAAGUGGGGGAUCUUCGGACCUCACGCUAUCAGAUGAGCCUAGGUCGGAUUAGCUAGUUGGUGGGGUAAAGGCCUACCAAGGCGACGAUCCGUAACUGGUCUGAGAGGAUGAUCAGUCACACUGGAACUGAGACACGGUCCAGACUCCUACGGGAGGCAGCAGUGGGGAAUAUUGGACAAUGGGCGAAAGCCUGAUCCAGCAAUGCCGCGUGUGUGAAGAAGGUCUUCGGAUUGUAAAGCACUUUUAGUUGGGAGGAAGGGCAGUAAGUUAAUACCUUGCUGUUUUGACGUUACCAACAGAAUAAGCACCGGCUAACUUCGUG
rnacentral:rRNA from 1 species